GUAGCUGUAAAUGAAACAUUGUGGAAGUUGGCCUAAUGACCACUUUUUCAAUUUUGCAGGUGGCGCUAUAGAGCCAUUUUGCCACACACAUGCGCAACUCCCAUAAAAUAUCAAAUUUUUCGCCAGUCCUGAUGUGCACGCCAAAUUUCAUGCGUUUUGGGAUAUGAUAAGGCCGCCAAAAAGGCAAUUCAUUUGUCAGGAGAAAAAAAAAAAAAAAAAAAAAAUUAAAGCUGCAAGCAGCGAUGGACGGGUCCUCGCAUCCACGCUGGUCGGCGAGUCCAUGCACGUCCACCAGGUGGCGCUGUGACUGAGAGUGUGUGUCGGCCUCUGAAUCACAUCUGGACCAGAGUUUAAACACACGUAAAAUUUCAGCCAGAUUGGAGCAUGUUCAGACUAGUUAUACAGCAUUUCCUGCCCAUCAACCACCAGGUGGCGCUGCAACUGAGAAUGUAUUUCAAACAGUGGAUGUGAUGAGGGUUGGACUCUGAUCACUCAUGUAAAGUUUCAGGCUGAUUUGACCAUGUAGAGUCCAGUUAUACAGCAUUUACUGUCCCUCCAACAGGUGGCGCUGCAACUGAGAGUGUCUGUUGGCCUGUAGAUGUGAUCAGGAUUGGAUUGUGAUCACACAUGGAAAGUUUGAGGCAGAUUGGAGCAUGCAGAGGAGAGUUACACAGCAGUUGAUGUUUCUUGGCGAAGCAUCAAAACUCUAAUGGUCACCAUGGCCACGCCAUUUGGCUUCUGGUUAAACUUUUGAUAACUUUUCAUCACCAAGUCCUGCUGUGUGGACUGACAAAAUUUCAGGUCUCCUGGAAUUAUCCCCGAGGAGGUAUUAACUCUCAAAAAUGAGAAAAAUCAUCAAAAAUCUCACAAUUAAUCCAAGAUGGCCGACUUCCUGUUGGGUUUAGGACAUGGCUCCAAGAGGCUUUUUUGUGCAUCCUGAUGUGCUCUAUAAGCCUCCCAAAUUUCAUGGAUGUAGGUGAAACGUGCUGGGGGGGCUGUUUGUUAAAAAUACUGUAGGGGGCGCUAUAGCAUGUGCAGUGCCGAGAUGCAUACAGUGUUGUUCCUUGGGUCAAUGGUGAUGUGUGUGGUAAUUUUAGUGAGCAUUGGAGUAUUCCUAACCUGUCAGAAAGGGCUUUGUUUUUCAUGGCGAUAUUUGGUUGCUACGGCAACAGCGUUGCAUGAAAUGUCACACCCUUCACAGUGUGGGAUUGUCAAGAGGUGAAGACUCGACUGACCAAUUUCCAGCAUGAUAUCACCAAGUUUGGGGCCAUUGUACCUGAAAAUAUAAGGCCUUAAACUUACUAUUACCAACAGGUGGCGCUAUGACUUUUUCAAAAUUUAUGAGUGUGGAUGUGUUCAGACUGGACCUGGUAUCCAGCAUGUGAAGUCUGAGGCAGAUAGGAUGUUGUUCAGCUGAGAUAUGAAUCGUUAAAUUUUCAUGGCGAAACAUCGAAAUUGGUUUGGCCGCCACAGACACGCCCUUUGAUGACAAGUCACCAUUUUCACUGGGAUGCAUCAUCAAUGUGUUUAGGCUGUUGUCACUGCAUUUGAAGUGAAUAUGAUCAACCGGGUAACAAUAGGGCAUGAAAGUGUAAAAGAUGUCUAUUUCCUGAAACCACAAGGUGGCGCUAUGACUGUCAAUGAAUAUCCCUAUGUGGAUGACAUCAGGACAGGACUGUCAUCAUACAUGUAAAGUUUCAGGCAGAUUGGAGCAUGUUGAGAAGAAUUAGACACCAAUUCCUGUUUCAAGGCGAAGGAUCAGUUGUUUGAGGCUCCGCCAUGGCCACACCUUUUGGCUUCUGGUUGAGUUUUUGAUAACUUUUCAUCAGAAAGGUCUGGUGCAUGUACUGGCCAA